rnacentral:lncRNA from 1 species
UGUGGUGGGAGAACUGACUUCAGAGAAAGCCAUCCUGGACAGGUGAGGUGGCCCCACGAGGAACAGGUUUCAAUCAAAUGUUUUGUAGGCAGUGAUGCCCGUGCACCCUGGUGAGAAGGAGCAUGGCGUGAACAUCAGGAACCAGACUUCACCCUGGAGGAAAGGCCACAGGAUGAGGGAGGAUUUCUCGAGAGAUGAUGUGCGAGCUGAGGUCUGAAACAUGAGAAAAAUCCAGCUAUGGCAGGAGGAGAGGCAAUACGUGGUGCUCAUGAACAAAGCAAACAUUAAAGUCAGACCAGACCCGACAUUUGACUCAGUCUUAAUAUCCAGGUGAGCUUGGGCAAAUCACUCAUUAUUCCUAAGUCUUCAUCACUUCAUUCACAAAAUGGGGAUAACUGUGGCACCUACCUGUGAUUUUGUGAGAACUAAUGAAAUACUAUGAUUGGUGUUAUUGUGAUCAUUAUACCUAUUCUAAACUAUUUGACCAGGACAGGGAUGCAUGAUAACAUUAACAGAUUAGAAACUGUAAUGAGGUCUCUUGGGCAAAAUUCCAUACAAGCAAAUUACUGUCUCUCCAAAGCAUUCCUGCCACACUUAAUUCACCAUUCCCUGAAUAAAAUGUGCCAUCUUCAUUGUCCAGGUCUUUACAGUGCUGGUUUACCUGCCUGGGCAGCUCACUCCAUCCCAUCCCAGCCCAUUCCCCAUCCCUCCACCUCCCCCUUCCCUCCCCACUCUCAUACAACUCUUCCUCAUC